UACGUAGGGGGCAAGCGUUGUCCGGAUUUAUUGGGCGUAAAGAGCGUGUAGGCGGCCUUACAGGUCAGCUGUGAAAACUCGAGGCUCAACCUCGAGAGGUCGGUUGAAACCGUAUGGCUAGAGUCCGGAAGAGGAGAGUGGAAUUCCCGGUGUAGCGGUGAAAUGCGCAGAUAUCGGGAGGAACACCAAUGGCGGAGGCAGCUCGCUGGGACGGUACUGACGCUGAGACGCGAAAGCGUGGGGAGCAAACAGG
rnacentral:rRNA from 1 species